CACGCUGGCGGCGUGCCUAAUACAUGCAAGUCGAGCGCAGGAAACUGACGGAACUCUUCGGAGGGAAGGCAGUGGAAUGAGCGGCGGACGGGUGAGUAACACGUAAGGAACCUGCCUCAAGGAUUGGGAUAACUCCGAGAAAUCGGAGCUAAUACCGGAUAGUUCAUCGGACCGCAUGGUCCGUUGAUGAAAGGCGCUCCGGCGUCACCUUGAGAUGGCCUUGCGGUGCAUUAGCUAGUUGGUGGGGUAACGGCCCACCAAGGCGACGAUGCAUAGCCGACCUGAGAGGGUGAUCGGCCACACUGGGACUGAGACACGGCCCAGACUCCUACGGGAGGCAGCAGUAGGGAAUCUUCCACAAUGGACGAAAGUCUGAUGGAGCAACGCCGCGUGAGUGAUGAAGGUUUUCGGAUCGUAAAACUCUGUUGUAAGGGAAGAACACGUACGAGAGGGAAUGCUCGUACCUUGACGGUACCUUACGAGAAAGCCACGGCUAACUACGUG
rnacentral:rRNA from 1 species